ACCGUGGCCUCGACCUCGAGUCCUCGACCUGGAUGCCUCACACAUGACACACUGGCGCGUGCCGCCUGGAGCCUGUCCGAUUCGCCUGUUAGAGAUAAGAUGCCCCGUUGCUGUAGCAAGUGAUUUUGGCUUGAAACGGGGCUCUCGCCAAUGGAGCUGCCGCUCGCCCCACACGCCGCCCUCCUCUCCUGCGGCUCCGCACCCUUCGUCUUCGGGCUCCGCUCCCACUCCGCCGCUCCGAGCCGCCGCGCCUCGCCGCUCCAAGCCCGCAGGAACAAGAACUACCGGAGCGACGCGGACGCCGGCGGCGCCGCGGAGCCCAAAAUCAUCACCCUCGGCCGGCCGGGGAAGAGCCGGCGGCGCCGCAACAGGAAGAAGCAGCCGCAGAAGGAUGAAGCCGACGACGAUGAGGAGGAGGACGACGACGACGAGCGCGACGCGACGAUCCCGGAGGUGGUGACGAACCGGAUGAUGCGGCGCGUGGGGGUGUCGGUGGGCGCGCCACUGGCUCUGGGCGGCGGCUUCUUCCCGGUGUUCUACUACCUCAAGGCGGUGCAGAAGGUGGACGUGCCGACGUGGAUCCCCUUCGGCGUGUCCUUCGUCUUCUUCGGCGCCGCGCUGCUGGGGGUCAGCUACGGCAUCGUGUCGGCGAGCUGGGACCCCGCCAGGGAGGGCUCCCUGCUCGGCUGGACCGAGGCCCGCCGCAACUGGCCCGUCUUCUGGGACUCGCUCCGGGGGCGCUCGCCUCCUCGCCGGGGAUAGGAUAGCUAGAGCUAAUCAAGGCCAGUAAUCCACCCUCUUAUCUUUGCUACAUUUUAUACAGUACUUGUCAUGUGGCCAUUCUUGCAGAGUUGCUGUAGAUGUAGAGUGUUCUUGCGUUGAUUUUUUCAGGCUACAACUCGUUCGUCUGAUAGUACCUCAUUGCAUCGAUCAUGCUACACGCUGGGAGACGGUUCAUCUGUGCGACUGCUCUGCCAAUCCAACAGCACCGCGCCGUCGUCGUGCGGGGCAGCAGCCAUUGCUCGGCUCGGCGUUGUUCCUUCUGCGGGAGUCCAAUGAUGCCGUGCACUCUUACUCUCUUAGUAAGGCAGCCGAUGAGCCUGUUGAAAUUCGUUCAAACGUUUGUUUAAAAUAACACUGUUCAAACACCGUGCACGAUUCAAUUCGUUUUCUCCUUCUCCUUUCCUUUCCCUUAUUGUACUCGUAUCUUAUUGCCUUUUCUUUCGCGCUGCUCAAACCUGCAUAUCUUAUUGCUAGUCUAAUAACGAGCUAGUGACAUCGAUCUCUUGGCUUUGUCAUAAGGAUUAAGGGGAACAGACAAAAGUCCAUCUACAUACAACAUUAGUUCACGUGCACGUGAACUAAUGUUGUAUGUAGAUGGACUUGUUGUCUGUUCAUGUGGUGAACAAAUAAAGGUAACAACCAAGGGAUCAUUCUGAAAUUAGAUUAUGAAAAGAUUUAUGAUAGAGUUAGUUUCGAGUUUUUGGAAGAUCUUUUGUCUUCUAGGGGUUUUGGUGAGAGAUGGAGGAGUUGGAUUAGACAAGUGGUUAGGGGGGGGGGGUCCAAUUUGCAUUAGAAUCAAUGAUGAAAAUGGCGGUUACUUUCGGCCAGGUAAAGGCUUGAGACAAGGUGACCCUCUAUCUCCCUUACUUUUUAACCUCGUUGCUGAUGUCUUCACUAGGAUGCUAAUGAAGGCAGCUACAGAGAGUCUGAUACUCUGAUCACUGGCCUUUUAUCGGAAGUGUGUGAAGGGGGGAAUUAUCAGCCUUCAGUAUGCUAAUAACACCCUCCUCUUCCUCCAAAAUGAUUUGGAUAAAGCUAGAAAUCUAAAGUGGCUUUUAGUCUGCUUUGAGCAGCUUUCAGGCCUAAAAAUUAACUAUGACAAAAGUGACCUAAUCGCUAUUGGUUUGGAUGAAGAAAGAGAGAAUGAUAUGGCCAAAAUCUUUUGCUGUAAAACUGAUCAGCUUCCUUUCAAUUACCUUGGUGUGCCUCUACACCAUAGUAAGCUGAAGAGAGAGCAUUUAGUGGUAGAUAGGUUAUUAAGAGGAUUUCUGGUUGGAAGGGAAUACUCCUAUACUAUGGUGGGAGGCCGACUCUACUAAAAUCUUGCUUGGCAAGUAUUCCAAUUUAUUUAAUGUCUGUAAUUAAGUUUCCAAAGUGGGCCACUAAAACAAUUAACUCACAAUGAGCCAUUUCUUCUGGGGCAACACAGAAGAAAAUCACAAGUACCAUCUAGCUAAUUGGCAAUUGGUCUCUCAACAAAAAGAGCUAGGAGGUCUAGGAGUCCAUAUUUGAAGAACCUUAAUAUGUGCUUGUUAGCUUCCUGGAUCCAGAGAUAUCACCUAAGUGAUUAUGUGCUCUGGAAGGAUAUUGUUGACUACAAAUAUAUGAUCAAUCACCCUAACAUUUUUUGUUGUCUCGACAAUGGAACCUCCCCUUUUUGGAAAGGGGUUUUGUGGGCGGCUCAGGCUGCUAGAAUUGGCUACUGCUGGAAUAUUGGUAAUGGUCGUAGGGUCAGGUUUUGGGAGGAUCAGUGGUUUGGUAGCUCUAGUCUGGCUGUCCAAUACUGGCCUCUUUAUAUCAUUUGUAAUGAAAAAAGGAUAACGGUUGAGAGAGUCUGGGAUAAUGCCAAUUUAAGGCUUACCUUUAGAAGAGCGGUUUCGGAGAGCUAGAUGUUGAUGUGGGAGGAGUUAUGUCAAAUAGCUUGUAACAUGGUGGAUAAUGAUGAUGACAUCAUUUGGAAGUAUGUGUUAUAUUGUGAUCCAAAUUCAGCCCCCCACCUCCCACCCCUGGCGCGGUCCGGUUCAUAUACCCUUUAGGGUUUGCUCCUCGUUGUUUUAUUCCUCUUGUAAGCCGCAGUAGGCGUUGCAAACACACAGCCGAUGUAUCGAAGAUUUGCUGGCUGGCGCCCGUGGUUUUUUUCCCUUCCACAUUGGAGGGGUUUUCAACGUUAAAUCCUCGUGUCUCUUGUGGUUGAUCUUGUUGUCCUUCAUCGUUUGUUCGCCGUCGAUUCUAACAGUAUGAGUCUAAAGGUACAUAUUUGGUUCAUUCCCUUUAUUCUAUUGUGAAUUCUAGGAGGGUAAUUCUAGUCUAUGAGCCUGCAGUUUGGAAGCUAAGUAUUCCACCUAGGAUACAUAUUUUCUGUGGUUGCUAUCCAAAAACAAACUCCUGACUAGAGACAACCUGGGUAGAAGAAGAGAGCUCGAUGAUCAAAUUUGCUUAUUUUGCUGUGAGGCAGAGUCGGUUAACCACCUAUUUUUUGAGUGGUGUGUUGCCAAAUUGGUUUGGCUGGAAAUUUCUGCCAUUGUGGGAAGAAGGAUUGGGAUGGAUUUUGAAUCCAUUGCCCGCUGGUGGGUGAGCAAUAAUAAGAAUGAAAAUCUGAAUUGUGUCUGUGCUACUGUGCUCUGGGCUCUUUGGAAACUAACGAAUGGUUUGUGCUUUUAGGGGAAAACUUGGCGUGGCGAGGAACCAGUACUAGGGGCAGUGGCAAGGAUGCUGGACAGGUUGAGGCCUCUGUUCAAGGAGAAAGAGCUCAGAGAUGGACUGCUUCAUUGGGGCUCUGGCGCAGCUUGGGCCAAGACUGCCGAGAAUUGUGUGGAUGAACAGUUCAGAGUCGGUGACAUCUUCUUCUACGCAGUCCCAUCAGGGCUCCGGCGUUGCACCCUAUUCCGCAGACUUUUGCCGAUCUCUUGUUCUCUUUCUGGUAGCACGAGAGUUGCUCCAGCUAAACUUGUAUCGAGCGGGCAGGCUUAAAACACUUCUCUUUCACGCUCUAAAAAUCGUGUACAGAAACCUUUUCUCUAAAAAAAAGUUGACCUGACC